rnacentral:rRNA from 1 species
GUUAAGAAUCUUGCGCAAUGGGCGAAAGCCUGACGCAGCCACGCCGCGUGAGCGAUGAAGGCCUUAGGGUUGUAAAGCUCAACAAGAUGGGAAGAAUAAGUAUGGUCCAAUAGGCCAUGCGAUGACGGUACCAUCCUGAAGCCCCGGCUAAUUACGUGCCAGCAGCCGCGGUAAUACGUAAGGGGCAAGCGUUGUUCGGAUUUAUUGGGCGUAAAGGGCACGCAGGCGGAUCGUUAAGUUGGGUGUUUAAUCUCCAGGCUCAACCUGGAGUCUGCACCCAAAACUGACAAUCUAGAGUUCUGGAGAGGAAAGCGGAAUUCUCGGUGUAGCGGUGGAAUGCGUAGAUAUCGAGAGGAAUACCAAUGGCGAAGGCAGCUUUCUGGACAGAAACUGACGCUCAGGUGCGAAAGCGUGGGGAGCAAACAGG